rnacentral:rRNA from 1 species
UACGUAGGGGGCAAGCGUUGUCCGGAAUCAUUGGGCGUAAAGAGCGCGUAGGCGGCCCUGUAAGUCCGCUGUGAAAGUCAAGGGCUCAACCCUUGGAUGCCGGUGGAUACUGCAGGGCUAGAGUCCGGAAGAGGCGAGUGGAAUUCCUGGUGUAGCGGUGAAAUGCGCAGAUAUCAGGAGGAACACCGAUUGCGAAGGCAGCUCGCUGGGACGUCACUGACGCUGAGACGCGAAAGCGUGGGGAGCGAACGGG